rnacentral:lncRNA from 1 species
UUAUUUCACUUUGAAAUUCGAUGGUUAAAAAAUUAACCUCUUGGCAGUAGCGUAAGCAUAGUGAUUUAUUGGAAGUUAUUUGUUUUUAUAGGAAAACCCUGACUGUUAACAAAAUUUUAGGCAAACUUGAAGAAUAUUCUGAUUCAGAUGAUGAAAACUGAAACUUGAGGGAACGGAUUUAAGUAAUUAUGUAUCUUCCAUCUAAUAAUUAUGCCUUCGUAAGUGAUUGAGAUAGUGACGAUGAAGAAAAUCCAGCAGGAGACUUUAUUAAGCUAUCUCUGAAAUAUUGGAGUUCAGAGGUGAGUUGAUUCAUAAAAUACGAGCCAGGAUGACUGUGACAAAGAUUUUGAAUUGAUGGAACCUAAUCCCAUUCCAUCUACAAGGAAGAGGAAAUCCUCCAUUGCUAAUACAAAAGAAAUUGAAUCAACGAUAAUGAAGGAACCUGAUAUUGAAAAAAUUACCCUUUCAUCGAUCUUACUCCAUCCUCCUGGAAGAGAAAGGCAAAUAGAGCAAGAGGAUCUCUGCAUAAAAUAGUUCUUGCUGCUGCUGAGACAACUAAAAAUGUUAAAUCAAGUAUUUUUGUAAGUCUUCCUAAACUCUCGAAUGCCUCGAAAUCCAACAAAAGGAAUAUUGGAUAUACUAGUGUAUGGAGCGAUACCAACAUUGGAGUUGGUAGUAACAUUGGUCAAUUUUCUCCAGUUCUCAAUGAAGUUGAGUCUGAAGAGGUUAUCGACUGCAAGUAGCCGUAUUAGUUCUGAAGACUAUUUAAGCCUGACAAUCACAUCGAGGAAAUAGUUGGACAGAGAAGAUUGUACGUUCACCAGAAGGGAAGAUCUAAUAAAGCUGUUGAUGUUACUAAAGACUCAAUCCUAUUUGUUUAUGCUAUCAUGUUACUCUCAGGUUACUGCAAGGUCCCGCGAACAAAAGGAUGUAUUGGGAAGAUACUCUUGACUGCAACAAUUCUAUAAUUUCUGAAAACAUUAGGUGUGAUACUUAGAAAAAUGUCUUGUCAGGGAUUCAUUUUUCGGACAAUAGCGUAGAGCCUGAUGAUAGAUUUUUCGAAGUCAGUCUUCUAUUUUCAAAUAUCAAGAGUCAAAGUAUGAAGUACACGCCUGUGUCCCAAUCUUUAAGCAAUUAUGAGAUAAUGAUACCGUAUUAUGGAUCACACGGGGACGAGCAUUAUAUCCGUUGCAAGCAAAGUAACAAAAUUUGGUUUCAAGGUAUGGCAAUUAGCUGUAGCUCUGGUCAUAUUGUGUUCGUUGAGCUUUAUUGUGGUAGAAGCACUGACAUUGAAAAAGUCAUUGGUUGUUAGGGUUCAGUGUGGUGAUGGCACUUAUCAAUAAACAGAAAGUGUCGCCGGGGAGCCAAGUUUUCUUUGAUAAUUUAUUUACUUCUAUUCCUCUUUUGAAGGAGCUAAGUUCUAAAGGUAUUGUUGGAACUGGGACAAUGUGACAAAACAGACAGGAGCCAAUUCAUUUGACUAUCAAAAAAAUGAUCGAGAAAGAAUUUGAGAGGGGAAAUAUGGGGACUAAAUUAUAUUCAGAUAUUGCUUUAGUUGUGUGUAAAGAUAAUAAGGGAGUGUAUUUAGCUAGCAACAACUUCAAAGAUAUUCCUUAUUCCAAUGCAAGAUGACGGAUUAGAGUAAACAAGAAAU